rnacentral:rRNA from 1 species
AUUGAACGCUGGCGGCAGGCCUAACACAUGCAAGUCGAACGGUAACAGGAAGCAGCUUGCUGCUUCGCUGACGAGUGGCGGACGGGUGAGUCAUGUCUGGGAAGCUGCCUGAUGGAGGGGGAUAACUACUGGAAACGGUAGCUAAUACCGCAUAAUGUCGCAAGACCAAAGAGGGGGACCUUCGGGCCUCUUGCCAUCGGAUGUGCCCAGAUGGGAUUAGCUUGUUGGUGGGGUAACGGCUCACCAAGGCGACGAUCCCUAGCUGGUCUGAGAGGAUGACCAGCCACACUGGGACUGAGACACGGUCCAGACUCCUACGGGAGGCAGCAGUGGGGAAUAUUGCACAAUGGGCGCAAGCCUGAUGCAGCCAUGCCGCGUGUAUGAAGAAGGCCUUCGGGUUGUAAAGUACUUUCAGCGGGGAGGAAGGGAGUAAAGUUAAUACCUUUGCUCAUUGACGUUACCCGCAGAAGAAGCACCGGCUAACUCCGUG